AAUAUUGCACAAUGGGCGCAAGCCUGAUGCAGCAACGCCGCGUGAGUGAAGAAGGCUCUUGGGUCGUAAAGCUCUUUCGGCAGGGAAGAAGGGUUCUAAGGUAAAUAAUCUUGGAAUUUGACGGUACCUGCAUAAGAAGCACCGGCUAACUCCGUGCCAGCAGCCGCGGUAAUACGGAGGGUGCGAGCGUUGUUCGGAAUUACUGGGCGUAAAGCGCGUGUAGGCGGGCUGAUAAGUCGGUUGUGAAAGCCCAGAGCUCAACUUUGGAAUUGCAGCCGAAACUAUUAGUCUUGAAUGCUUGAGAGGAUGGCGGAAUUCCUGGUGUAGAAGUGAAAUUCGUAGAUAUCAGGAGGAACACCGGAGGCGAAGGCGGCUAUCUGGCAGUGCAUUGACGCUGAGACGCGAAAGCGUGGGGAGCAAACAGGAUUAGAUACCCUGGUAGUCCACGCCGUA
rnacentral:rRNA from 1 species